AAUCAAUUAAUGUACAACUAUUUUUCUGUUAUAUUUAUUUGUAUUCCUCUAUUCUUUAUAGUAAUUAAUAAAACAUGCCAUAGAAUCCGAGCCCUAUAUCAACCAGCGUAGUAACAUUGUCUUAGAAACGAUUUAUUUAAAUAGAAAAAAUCCUAUCGGUUUUAUAUCAGAAUAUCAGAUGAGUCCAUAUAACACUCAGAAUGGGAACGAAGUACCCCGAUAUUAUAUCAGAGUGUUUAUUAUCGUGUUUUUAUAAUGUCAAGUCACAUGCCCGAAUCGGUGUUUCUAGGGCUCGGGAAUGUAUACAGAUGAAUGGCGGUAGAUAGCGAGCAGUUCGAGCAGUUUUCAUUGAAGCGGUGGAAGACAGUGUGAAAUUAGUGACAUAAUCAUAUUAUAAGUACACUAUGUAGUAUGUAGACGGGGUCGAAAAGUCACGUCAAAUCGCACCGGGAAAAUCAUCGCACAGACGAGAUCACGAUAGUGAACACCUACCUCUCAGAUCUCGAUGACAUUCCAGCGAGUUCUUCAAGUGUACGAUCAAGGACAUGCGUAUAUAUACGCGAGUAUAAUUACUAUACUAUAGAGCCAACAUUGACGUAUUAAGUAAGAAUAUCUGAGCAGCGACAAAGUUUGAAAUUAUAUGAUCGCGGUGUAUUAUUUUGUAGGUAGUACCUACCUACGUAUAAUAUUAGACAGUGCCUGGUUUGGCUAAGGUUAAUAGUUAUAGGGUGAGAUAAAAUAACAAUUACUAAAUCGUUUCGUGUGAAAUCACGUUUUAAUAUCCCAAUGGUAUAAUAGUUUAUCACAGUAAGGAUAUAAAAUAAAAUAAGUAUAUUUAAGUGCACUUGCAGUAAUUAAAAACAAAUUUUUAUCUGUAUUAUUUAACCACUUUAAUCCUAAAAAUAGAAAAUGCACUGAGAGCAUAUCGGCCAAUAUUGAACUGUUAUUCCUACAGUGCGAAAUAAAAUGAUUUUAAAGGUAAUAGAAAAAUUGAUUUAUAAUCAAAAUUAUUGUCAAUUGUCAUAAUAAGGGCUCGGAUUUUAAAGCAUAAUAAACACAACUAAAAAAGCACACGAUUGUUUUAAAAAGGCAAAAAAGAAACAUAUUUAUUUUUAAAAAAAAGCACGACCAAAAAUUAACAUGAACUAGUUAUAAAAAUUUGAAAUAUUAAUUUAAAUUAAAAAAAUAAUUAACCACUAUGUAUUUCCUUAGAUGUUUAGUAGUGAAACUGACUCUAUUGUCCGACAGAAUAUUUUUAUACGAAAAAACGAACUCUCUACAUCCACUGAAGUGAUCGGUGCAUACUUUGUACAAAAGGUUUCAAAUUACAACACUAAAUCUUAAAUUUUGAAAUGGUCAAUAUCAAUAUUAUAAACAUACUUACCGUAUAGGUACUGCAGACUAUAUUAUGUAGAUCGACAAUCUAUAUGUUUAAUACAUUUUAAACAAGCCGAUAACGAAAACAAUAAUAAUCCAAUAUCUACAUUCUGGGUUUUUACAUUAAUUAUUAAUUUUUUUUUUUUUACAAUACCAUAAUAAACA